rnacentral:rRNA from 1 species
UACGUAGGGUGCAAGCGUUGUCCGGAAUUAUUGGGCGUAAAGAGCUCGUAGGUGGUUUGUUACGUCUGCUGUGAAAUCCUAGGGCUUAACCCUGGGCUUGCAGUGGAUACGGGCAGACUAGAGGUAGGUAGGGGAGAAUGGAAUUCCUGGUGUAGCGGUGAAAUGCGCAGAUAUCAGGAGGAACACCGGUGGCGAAGGCGGUUCUCUGGGCCUUACCUGACACUGAGGAGCGAAAGCGUGGGGGAGCGAACAGG